rnacentral:rRNA from 1 species
UACGGGGGGGGGUAAGCGUUGUUCGGAAUUACUGGGCGUAAAGGGCUCGUAGGCGGCCAACUAAGUCAGACGUGAAAUCCCUCAGCUUAACUGGGGAACUGCGUCUGAUACUGGAUGGCUUGAGUUUGGGAGAGGGACGCGGAAUUCCAGGUGUAGCGGUGAAAUGCGUAGAUAUCUGGAGGAACACCGGUGGCGAAGGCGGCGUCCUGGACCAACACUGACACUGAGGAGCGAAAGCCAGGGGAGCAAACGGG